AGAGUUUGAUCAUGGCUCAGAUUGAACGCUGGCGGCAGGCCUAACACAUGCAAGUCGAGCGGAUGAAGGGAGCUUGCUCUCUGAUUUAGCGGCGGACGGGUGAGUAAUGCCUAGGAAUCUGCCUGGGAGUGGGGGAUAACGUUCCGAAAGGAACGCUAAUACCGCGUACGUCCUACGGGAGAAAGCAGGGGACCUUCGGGCCUUGCGCUAUCAGAUGAGCCUAGGUCGGAUUAGCUAGUUGGUGAGGUAAUGGCUCACCAAGGCGACGAUCCGUAACUGGUCUGAGAGGAUGAUCAGUCACACUGGAACUGAGACACGGUCCAGACUCCUACGGGAGGCAGCAGUGGGGAAUAUUGGACAAUGGGCGAAAGCCUGAUCCAGCCAUGCCGCGUGUGCGAAGAAGGUCUUCGGAUUGUAAAGCACUUUAAGUUGGGAGGAUGGGCAGUAAGUUAAUACCUUGCUGUUUUGACGUUACCGACAGAAUAAGCACCGGCUAACUUCGUGCCAGCAGCCGCGGUAAUACGAAGGGUGCAAGCGUUAAUCGGAAUUACUGGGCGUAAAGCGCGCGUAGGUGGUUCGUUAAGUUGGAUGUGAAAGCCCCGGGCUCAACCUGGGAACUGCAUCCAAAACUGGCGAGCUAGAGUACGGUAGAGGGUGGUGGAAUUUCCUGUGUAGCGGUGAAAUGCGUAGAUAUAGGAAGGAACACCAGUGGCGAAGGCGACCACCUGGACUGAUACUGACACUGAGGUGCGAAAGCGUGGGGAGCAAACAAGAUUAGAUACCCUGGUAGUCCACGCCGUAAACGAUGUCAACUAGCCGUUGGAAUCCUUGAGAUUUUAGUGGCGCAGCUAACGCAUUAAGUUGACCGCCUGGGGAGUACGGCCGCAAGGUUAAAACUCAAAUGAAUUGACGGGGGCCCGCACAAGCGGUGGAGCAUGUGGUUUAAUUCGAAGCAACGCGAAGAACCUUACCUGGCCUUGACAUGCUGAGAACUUUCCAGAGAUGGAUUGGUGCCUUCGGGAACUCAGACACAGGUGCUGCAUGGCUGUCGUCAGCUCGUGUCGUGAGAUGUUGGGUUAAGUCCCGUAACGAGCGCAACCCUUGUCCUUAGUUACCAGCACGUUAUGGUGGGCACUCUAAGGAGACUGCCGGUGACAAACCGGAGGAAGGUGGGGAUGACGUCAAGUCAUCAUGGCCCUUACGGCCAGGGCUACACACGUGCUACAAUGGUCGGUACAAAGGGUUGCCAAGCCGCGAGGUGGAGCUAAUCCCAUAAAACCGAUCGUAGUCCGGAUCGCAGUCUGCAACUCGACUGCGUGAAGUCGGAAUCGCUAGUAAUCGUGAAUCAGAAUGUCACGGUGAAUACGUUCCCGGGCCUUGUACACACCGCCCGUCACACCAUGGGAGUGGGUUGCUCCAGAAGUAGCUAGUCUAACCUUCGGGGGGACGGUUACCACGGAGUGAUUCAUGACUGGGGUGAAGUCGUAACAAGGUAACCGUAAU
rnacentral:rRNA from 1 species